rnacentral:snoRNA from 1 species
ACCUUCCGAAUUCCCUGCCGAUCCCAUCUGAACAUUGCUCUGAGAGGCUACACAAGGAGGAGGAGUAAAACUGAAACGGACUUGGAUUCUUUUGUGACAAACAAGUCCAUGACAUACAAAA